UAUAAGAGAGUACUCUUUGGAUGCUUUUUUUCCCAAUGAAAGAAUAUAGUACUCCAUUUUUUUGUAAAAUGAAAUACACAUGGGACCAUAGAAUAAAUAAAGUGUGAUUCUUGAAAAUCUCGAGUCUGUUGGUCUUGGCUGACAACUUUAUCAAAGGUCAAAAUUAAGGUUAAGGUGCAUCCAUCCAUAAUCAAUGGUGGUCAUUGUUCUUAGUAAACGAAAUGGUAAAAGGACAAUAGCUACAGUGUCAUAAAAAAUUAUGUUACAUAAAUCGGAAUAAAGUGAGUACUGUUGUCCUCAGAUUGUGAACAAGUUGGGAUUGGUUCUGGUUUAAACCUGAAGAUCAAAAGGAAACAGGCCCAAAUGUGCACUUUAAGGUAAAAAUUGCAGGCGGCCCCCUUUUAAGCAAUUUGUAGCGGCUUUAUUUUUUUUGUUGUACCCGUACUUGUUUUUUUGUGAAAAGCUAUUUAAAAAAAUUAUUUUCUUUGCCAUUUUUUAUUAAAAGUUUACUUUCUCUCCAAGUAUACUCACUCUAGUCCUCUUCUCCCUGUCUCUAUGUCUCCUGUUAUUCGCGCUCUUAUCUGAAAUCAAAGGAUUUUCAUCAUUAUUUCGAAUUUUCAACUGCUAGUCGUUGUUGUUCCCACAUUACUAUUUAAUCACAGAUAUAUUGCAUUAACUUUCUGGGUUUAAUUUAUUAUUUAAUUUUUGGUUUUGGGUUUGAUAGUCAUGUAUUUAUGAUAG
rnacentral:lncRNA from 1 species